CACGUAGGCGGAUUGAUAAGUUUGAAGUGAAAUCCUAUAGCUUAACUAUAGAACUGCUUUGAAAACUGCUAAUCUAGAAUGUGGGAGAGGUAGAUGGAAUUUCUGGUGUAGGAGUAAAAUCCGUAGAGAUCAGAAGGAAUACCGAUUGCGAAGGCGAUCUACUGGAACAUUAUUGACGCUGAGAUGCGAAAGCGUGGGGAGCAAACA
rnacentral:rRNA from 1 species